AGAAAUUUAGGUUACACAGACCAAGAGCCUUCAAAGCCCUAAGCAAGUCCUAAGACUUAAUUUCUG
rnacentral:tRNA from 1 species